CAAUUAUCCGAUUCAUCUGAAAAUUCCAGGGCAGAUAGAUCGUGACCUGAUCAACAAUUUUACUCCUGUCAGAUUUGCUCUAAAUGCUUUGGUUUUUGAGUUAUAAGCCAAAAACUGCAUUUUACCCCUAUGUUCUAUUUUUAGCCAUGGCGGCCAUCUGUGUUGGUUGGCCGGGUCACCGGACACAUUUUUUAAACUACAUACCCCAAUAAUAAUUAUGGCCACGUUUGGUUAAAUUUGGCCCAGUAGUUUCAGAGAAAAAGAUUUUUCUAAAAGAUUACUAAGAUUUACGAAAAAUGGUUAAAAAUUGACUAUAAAGGGAAAUAACUCCUAAAGUGGUCAACUGACCAUUUUGGUCAUGUUGACUUAUUUGUAGAUCUUACUUUGCUGAACAUUAUUGCUGUUUUACAGUUUAUCUCUAUCUAUAAUAAUAUUCAAGAUAAUAACCAAAAACAGCAAAAUUUCCUUAAAAUUAUCAAUUCAGGGGCAGCAACCCAACAACGGGUUGUUCAAUUCAUCUGAAAAUUUCAGGGCAGAUAGAUCUUGACCUGAUGAACAAUUUUAUUCCUGUCAGAUUUGCUCUAAAUGCUUUGGUUUUUGAAUUAUAAGCCAAAAACUGCAUUUUACCCCUAUGUUCUAUUUUUAGCCAUGGCGGCCAUCUUGGUUGGUUGGUCGGGUCACUCCACACAUUUUUUAAACUAGAUACCCCAAUGAUGAUUGUGGCUUAGUUUGGUUAAAUUGUCCCAGUAGUUUCAGAGGAGAAGAUUUUUGUAAAAGAUAACUAAGAUUUACGAAAAAUGGUUAAAAAUGGACUAAAAAGGGCAAUAACUCCUAAAGGGGUCAACUGACCAUUUCGGUCACGUUGACUUAUUUGUAAAUCUUACUUUGCUGAACAUUAUUGCUGUUUACAGUUUAUCUCUAUCUAUAAUAAUAUUCAAGAUAAUAACCAAAAACAGCAAAAUUUUCCUUAAAAUUAUCAAUUCAGGGCAGCAACCCAACAACGGGUUGUCCGAUUCAUCUGAAAAUUUCAGGGCAGAUAGAUCUUGACCUGAUAAACAAUUUUACCCCUGUCAGAUUUGCUCUAAAUGCUUUGGUUUUUGAGUUAUAAGCCAAAAACUGCAUUUUACCCCUAUGUUCUAUUUUUAGCCAUGGCGGCCAUCUUGGUUGGUUGGCCGGGUCAAGCCACAUAUUUUUUAAACUAGAUACCCCAAUGAUGAUUGUGGCCAAGUUUGGUUUAAUUUGGCCCAGUAGUUUCAGAGGAGAAGAUUUUUGUAAAAGUUAACGACGACGGACGACGACGACGGACGACGGACGACGGACGACGGACGCAAAGUGAUGGGAAAAGCUCACUUGGCCCUUC
rnacentral:lncRNA from 1 species